UACGUAGGUGGCGAGCGUUGUCCGGAAUUACUGGGUGUAAAGGGCGUGUAGGCGGGGAUACAAGUCAGAUGUGAAAUACCGUGGCUUAACCACGGGGCUGCAUCUGAAACUGUAUUUCUUGAGUGUCGGAGAGGAAAGUGGAAUUCCCAGUGUAGCGGUGAAAUGCGUAGAUAUUGGGAGGAACACCAGUGGCGAAGGCGACUUUCUGGACGAUAACUGACGCUGAGGCGCGAAAGCGUGGGGAGCAAACAGGAUUAGAUACCCUGGUAGUCCACGCUGUAAACGAUGGAUACUAGGUGUAGGAGGUAUCGACCCCUUCUGUGCCGGAGUUAACACAAUAAGUAUCCCACCUGGGGAGUACGGCCGCAAGGUUGAA
rnacentral:rRNA from 1 species